AGCGAACGCUGGCGGCAGGCCUAACACAUGCAAGUCGAACGCUCCUUCGGGGGAGUGGCAGACGGGUGAGUAACGCGUGGGAACGUGCCCAUCGGUUCGGAACAACCCAGGGAAACUUGGGCUAAGACCGGAUACGUGCGAGAGCAGAAAGAUUUAUCGCCGAUGGAUCGGCCCGCGUCUGAUUAGCUUGUCGGUGGGGUAACGGCCCACCAAGGCGACGAUCAGUAGCUGGACUGAGAGGAUGAACAGCCACCCUGGGACUGAGACACGGCCCAGACUCCUACGGGAGGCAGCAGUGGGGAAUAUUGGACAAUGGGCGCAAGCCUGAUCCAGCCAUGCCGCGUGAGUGAUGACGGCCCUAGGGUUGUAAAGCUCUUUCGCACGCGACGAUAAUGACGGUAGCGUGAGAAGAAGCCCCGGCUAACUUCGUGCCAGCCGCCGCAGUAAGAC
rnacentral:rRNA from 1 species